AUUUGAUAACAGCUCUGUUAGAAUUUGUCUAGCAAGUUUUCUAGCCUGUACCUGAAAGCCUCA
ensembl:snRNA U7 U7 small nuclear RNA